GCCAGCCUGAACUACAGAUGCACACGAGUGCAGGUGCCGAGUUGCUCCCCACUGGAGCUGGAGUUUAAAAGUGGCCACGAACUGCCUGAUGUGGGUGCUGGAGUCUUCUGCAACCCAAGCUGGAGUCUUCUGCAACCCAAGCUGGAGUCUUCUGCAACAGUAAUAUGUGCUCUCAACCACUGAGCACAGUUCCCUCAGUCCCUCAGCCAGCUUGUGCAGCCUGGACUCACCUACUGAGGGAUGCACUCACAGAGAGCUGCCCCCCCCCACAUCAAUCAGCAAUCAAGAAAACAAUCCACAGACACAUCCACAGGCCAGUCUGAUCCAGACACUUCCUCGGCUGAUGUUCGCUCUUCCCAGUGCAGCAGCUAAAGACUGUACAGUCUUUCGGCCUUAUCCUUAGGCUGAAACCAAUCCUGAGGACAAAGCAUUUAUGGAAGAGGAUGACAUCA